rnacentral:tRNA from 2 species
GGCUCUGUGGUCUAUAAAGGUAAGGAUACCACCCUUUCAAGGUGGUAAUGCUGUGUUCAAGUCACGCCAGAGUCA